rnacentral:lncRNA from 1 species
AUUGCUUCUUUAUUUCGAUGCACCCACAGUACAGAGCCCUCCACACACACGUGAAAGGAGAAGGUUACAUUGAUUUUUGGGAGCACCAGUCAUUUUGUCCUUGUUACCACCUUGAAGAAAGUAAAUCGCUUCCAAAGAACGACAUUUUGGAAUCCCAUGGGUUUGAACACUCAGCUUGCCCGUGGUUGUCAGUCUCAGGAGGAAGUAGCAUAUAUACUUUAGCCGGAGCUGGAAGAUUGUUCUGUGGCGUUUUAACAUUUGAUGAGGAACAGAAGAUUUUCACUGUCUGGUCAGGCCAGUCUCUAUUUUCAUAUGCAACUUCUCAUAUCAAAAAAUGUUUCAUUUUCUUUCUACCCACAAAUAGAUGAUGAAGUUAAAAAAAAAAAAAAAAAAAACUAAUGGACCACAGCAUUUCUAAGGGGGAAAAUGAACUUUUGCUGCCCUCUCCUGCUGAAACAAUGAAAUGCUAACAUACCAAAAGAUAAAGCUAAUGCUAAAUCCUUUAACCAAAGCAAGAACAUGUCAUUCUUUAUGCAACAAUCAAAAAUAGGACAAGAAAUUUAUUGGUAAUAUUUAUAUUUGAAAACUCCUCAUUAGUAUAUGAGGUUUGGAUUACAACUUAUGUACAGUAAGCAAUCAAAAAAAAAGAAACCUAUAUUCAUACAAAUCAUGAUAUAGGAUGUUUGUUUCUAAACAAAUAAGUGCUGCUUCAAUGGACAAAGCAGCCUAUGAAAUGACAUUCUGUUAAAAUCAAAUUUGCUAAUUUUGCCUCCACAAUGCACAGUUCUUUUAGACUUUUAAAACUAAAUAUUGAGGAAUAUAAAAUUCAUUGCCAAUACCUACUAGAAAAAUCCUUUUUGGCUCACUUCCUAUCUCCAUUAGGAGAACUGGUUGAACCAGAAUAUAAAAAUAAAAAUAUCCAUGUGCAAAUAAAACAUCAUUUGAUCAUGUCUACCUGUCACCUUUUUGCUAUCAGGUGACUGUCACUUUGUGAUGACAUUAGUAAUAGCAUCGAAAGAGAGAGAACUCUACUUUCUGGGACAAGUUGGUGCACCCAAUUUGGAAAAAAAAUAAAAUAAAAGUAGAAAAAAAAAUUAACCUGAACCAAACAUGUUUUUACAUGCUAAUAAACAUCCAUACAUCUUCCCUUUACCCCACCCCUACCCCCCCACAAAAAAAUAAAAAAGCUUUUAAAGCUCUAAAUAUACUUUUGUUUUUCUUUCCAUAGGGUGAUUGAGCCUGCUCUAUACUCAACAGGUACAGCAGGUGCAAAUACAAGCAAUUCCUGGCUCUGCACCCUGAACUGAUUCCACAUAUAGAAGGAGGUACAAAAUAAAUUAAACCCUUCUAUUUAUGCAAACAAGUCCAAGAUGAACUGAGUGUAACCCUGCUCAUGAGUAUCCAGCGGCAUUAAAGAGUAUUUUUAAUUCAUUUAUUUUUAAUUUUUUAUUUUAUUUUUUACAAAAAAAAAAUCCCAAAAAACAACAACAAAAAACAAACAAACAAACAAACAAAAAAAAAAAGCCACUCAAAUGUUUGGGAGACCAAAAAACAAAAAAAACCCAAAAAGUGACAGGAAAACAACUGGGAAAAAUUGCAAGAUGUGAAAAAGGAAUGCAUGCUUGAUUUAAAGUGUGAGAUGGGAAUAUUCACGGGUAUGAUUUUUCUAUGCCCACAAUCUAAUGCCUUUUUAUCUAGGCCAAAGUCCUCUUCUGAAGACUCUUAACCCUCACCCUGAAACCAAUAUGGUAGGAACAAGGGAGUGAGUGACCACUCAAUAACUACAAUAUUUGCUCUUUAAAAAAUAUAUUUAUAUAUAGUUCUGGAAAUAAUGAAGCAAACAAAAGUAUGAGAUGUGUUCAUCACAACUGAGUUGCAGCAAAGAUCAGGAUUGUGGGAAGGGUCAAGGAGGGCUGCUGCAAAUGCAGCAAGUACAUCCUUAAGUAUGUCACAUAGUGCAACAGUCGGGUUACCUCAGUUAUUCUGUGUCACUGGACACAACAUGACAAAUGUCACAUUGUCUCUUGCAGUUUAAAAAAAAAAUGAAAAGAUAGUGUUUCUUCUCAGAAAUUGCCUUAGGAGUUUUAGAUAUGCUGCAACUUACAGGCAGCAGGUUAAUAAUUAAGUGACCAACUCUUCAUAUAGGUCUAAAAUUUGGCUUCAUUUUUCUCAGUGUGGAUAUCAACAUAUAAAGUUGAUACUGAGAAAAAUCUGUAUAAAAUCUUCUAAGGUGCAAGAAAGAUUCCUUGCCUUUUUAAUUUUUGAAUGAGAUGCAUUUGAUUUCACUGGGCAGAGAUUUAAUUAGUUCAUUCAUCCAUGAAUUUUAAUGUCCUCAGUCUUCAAAGGCAUGUUAACUGCAAAUAUAAGAUUAGACUACCAAAAAUAAUCAUAAUGCAUAGUAGAAAUCAAAAGCUAUUCAAAUCAAAGGGGCUAAAGGAGAUGGUUUGUUACAAAUUUAUUUUUAUCUUUAAUAUUUGAGCUUGCACCUUUUCUCCAGUAUUUUAAAAGAAGUUGUAUAAUCUUUGGCAGCCUCUGCCAAAGUUUCAAUCAAUCUUCCAUCAAUUUCUUUAAAAAAAAAAAAAAUCGCUAGUAAUCCCAUUAAACCAUGUUAUAUUUGGUGUUGCAUAUGACUAUUUUACUGCUAUUUCAUUUUCAGAAUUAACAUUGUCAAGUUUUUACAAAGUUGCUGAGAUGACAAUAUUCAUAUGUGGCUAACUUAUGUAUAAACUAUGACCUGAUAAUCCUGAAACAUUGAACCUGGGAGGGAGGAAAAUAUACAAGCCCAUAUUUAUACUGUGUUCCUAUCAAAGGGCAACAGUUCAUGUGUUCAUAUUUAUAACUAGGACAAUUAGACAUACGAACACAGAAUCUGCUCUAUACCAUAAAUACUGCUGGGACCAAUCAUUUAGGAUUA